GCCCUUAGAGUUUGAUCCUGGCUCAGGAUGAACGCUAGCUACAGGCUUAACACAUGCAAGUCGAGGGGAAACGACAUCGAAAGCUUGCUUUUGAUGGGCGUCGACCGGCGCACGGGUGAGUAACGCGUAUCCAACCUGCCCACCACUUGGGGAUAACCUUGCGAAAGUAAGACUAAUACCCAAUGAUAUCUCUAGAAGACAUCUGAAAGAGAUUAAAGAUUUAUCGGUGAUGGAUGGGGAUGCGUCUGAUUAGCUUGUUGGCGGGGUAACGGCCCACCAAGGCGACGAUCAGUAGGGGUUCUGAGAGGAAGGUCCCCCACAUUGGAACUGAGACACGGUCCAAACUCCUACGGGAGGCAGCAGUGAGGAAUAUUGGUCAAUGGACGAGAGUCUGAACCAGCCAAGUAGCGUGCAGGAUGACGGCCCUAUGGGUUGUAAACUGCUUUUAUAAGGGAAUAAAGUGAGUCUCGUGAGACUUUUUGCAUGUACCUUAUGAAUAAGGACCGGCUAAUUCCGUGCCAGCAGCCGCGGUAAUACGGAAGGUCCGGGCGUUAUCCGGAUUUAUUGGGUUUAAAGGGAGCGUAGGCCGGAGAUUAAGCGUGUUGUGAAAUGUAGACGCUCAACGUCUGCACUGCAGCGCGAACUGGUUUCCUUGAGUACGCACAAAGUGGGCGGAAUUCGUGGUGUAGCGGUGAAAUGCUUAGAUAUCACGAAGAACUCCGAUUGCGAAGGCAGCUCACUGGAGCGCAACUGACGCUGAAGCUCGAAAGUGCGGGUAUCGAACAGGAUUAGAUACCCUGGUAGUCCGCACGGUAAACGAUGGAUGCCCGCUGUUGGUCUGAAUAGGUCAGCGGCCAAGCGAAAGCAUUAAGCAUCCCACCUGGGGAGUACGCCGGCAACGGUGAA
rnacentral:rRNA from 1 species